UCUUCACUUCAGCCUUGUUUCCAUUUUUCUUUUGUUUAAUCAGAUGAUGAUACCUUAGCUCUCAAGAGCUCAGAGUUCACAUCUGUGCUUGCGGGAAGUAAAGCCCUCCAAAGCCAUCUCUUCCCCUCUUUCGGGGAGCUGGAGAGCGGGCUCCCGGACCACUAGCCAAAUGCACAUCAAGUAUCAGCGUAACUGAUGAGGAGCUGGGGAGGAGCAGUCUUUGAGGAGUUUUUGAGUGAACACGCCAUAUGCCUGUUUCAUCACGAGUGCAAAUCAGCAGGAGGAAAAAGGAUGUCCUUAAAGUGACGUGAAGCCAUCAAAGGAGCUCUCAGGCCCCCCUUCAGAAGGCAAAGGGAAAAAAAAAAAAACAAAACACCUGAGCAAGUUCCUGACAUCAACAUCUGAAUCUUCCUCCUCUGAAUGCUGUAGAGAUGAAACGUUUCUCUGUCUGCUCUGAGCCUCAGUUUCUUUUUUUCUAAAAUGAGGACGAUGACGAUUCCAGCGUAGGCAACUUCGUCGGGUUGCUAUCUGGACCGCAGCAGGUACUGGAUGUGAAAGUACUCGGUAGGCGACGCAGCCCCAUGCACCUGACAGGGGCGGCCCACGUCAGGUCUCAGCCACGUUCUGGGUUGAGGUCUGUGUAGCCUCAACUAGGUCAUUCCUGGCUGGGCGAAGCAGCCCCCUGCAACGGCCCCUGAGUUUCCAGGACUGGAAAACAGAUGAAUUCCACGUGAUCCCUU
rnacentral:lncRNA from 1 species